rnacentral:rRNA from 1 species
UGUAUAAAAUCUCGAUAUUAGUAUUUUAAUUUAAAUUAAAAUAAUGAUAGUUUAGGUGGAAGUUUUUUUAUAAAGUUAAAAGUUAGGUAAAUUUAUUUAAAUAACAUUGGGUAAAGAUGAAAUAAUAUUUGACGUGGAACUAGACUAUAUAAAUGAUUAAUCUUUGGAAUUUUUAAAUAUAAGAAUAUUUUAAGAAAUAUAUGCUGCUAUAUGUUUAAUAAUUUUGUUUCAUUUCAUUAAGCACCUGAUAGUUAAUAUCUUGUCCAAGGAGACUUAUCUGAUUUUAUGGCGGUUUUAGAAAUUUAAAUUUCUUGUAUUGAUAAUGAAGAAAUCAUAAUAAUAAAAUGUAAAUUU